UGCGGUCAACCCGUAGAACCAAAUCUGUGUUGUGUGUUGCAUAAAACACGGUUGGUUUCACGGGUGGAUCGAGU
rnacentral:pre_miRNA from 16 species